rnacentral:rRNA from 1 species
GGUUACUGCUAUCGGUGUUCGCCUAAGCCAUGCGAGUCAUAUGUUCUUCGGAACAUGGCGUACUGCUCAGUAACACGUGGAUAACCUGCCCUUGGGUCCGGCACAACCCCGGGAAACUGGGGAUAAUUCCGGAUAACGCACAUAUGCUGGAAUGCUUUAUGCGUCAAAUGGAUUCGUCUGCCCAAGGAUGGGUCUGCGGCCUAUCAGGUAGUAGUGGGUGUAAUGUACCUACUAGCCUACGACGGGUACGGGUUGUGAGAGCAAGAGCCCGGAGAUGGAUUCUGAGACAUGAAUCCAGGCCCUACGGGGCGCAGCAGGCGCGAAAACUUUACAAUGCGGGAAACCGUGAUAAGGGGACACCGAGUGCCAGCAUCAUAUGCUGGCUGUCCGGGUGUGUAAAAUACACCUGUUAGCAAGGGCCGGGCAAGACCGGUGCCAGCCGCCGCGGUAACACCGGCGGCCCGAGUGGUGAUCGUGAUUAUUGGGUCUAAAGGGUCUGUAGCCGGUUUGGUCAGUCCUCCGGGAAAUCUGACGGCUUAACCGUUAGGCUUUCGGGGGAUACUGCCAGACUUGGAACCGGGAGAGGUAAGAGGUACUACAGGGGUAGGAGUGAAAUCUUGUAAUCCCUGUGGGACCACCUGUGGCGAAGGCGUCUUACCAGAACGGGUUCGACGGUGAGGGACGAAAGCUGGGGGCACGAACCGGAUUAGAUACCCGGGUAGUCCCAGCCGUAAACGAUGCUCGCUAGGUGUCAGGCAUG